AGGUUAAGAAAUGUUAAAGUAAUGGAACUAGUUAAGUAAAGGAAUGGUAGAACCGGAUGCUAGGGUUUUAGUAUUGAUUGAGUGUUUGAUUAUUGGGCUGUAGUGGGCGGUAUUGAGCGUCCUCACUGAGUAUUUUUGUAUGCUCAUGCCUCCUUUUGCGAUGCAGGUAAGGUUGAUUAUGUAGACAGGAGCGCGAGGCUAUAAAGACCAUCGGCAAGGGUGUUUUAAAUGUGGGUAAUGUUGAGAAGUUUUGUAAAAGAUAUUUUAUUGUAAACUACAUAAUUUUUAAUACAUAGUAUCGGGUUUCAUUUAUAAAGUUGUAGUAUUUCUCAUGUUCAUCCGAUAAAAUUUGACUCGAUCUUUUACUUAGAAAUUUUCACGUGUUUUCAAAUAUUCACGGGUUGGGGUGUUUCACCUUUGCC
rnacentral:lncRNA from 1 species